AAAUAAUACAACAUCAGAACAGUGUGUUAUAGACAGGAAGAUAAUGAGGGUAGUAGAAGAAAGAUCAUAUGGUCACUCAGGGAGGUGUAUGUUUCUCUUGGGAUUUUGACAGCUUAUUUUAACUUUCCUCAUUUCCACAGACAGCAUGAGAAGCAAACAUUGACAAGGAAAGUAGCUUGACAGAUGGUCUUGGACAGCGCKCUCUGUGCACAAGGGGCAGUGUGGAAGGUGACACUGAGGCAUCUGUGUGUCUUUGAAGAAGGAGGCAGGAGAUAUGGACAGAUUGGAACACACAUGGCCAGUAUGAUGCCCCCAGACCUGCUGGAGUACAGUGCUCUUGUCUGCAUGCUCAGAGGAUGAGGG
rnacentral:lncRNA from 1 species